ensembl:snRNA LOC120096438 U4 spliceosomal RNA
AGCUUUGCACAGUGGCAGUAUCGUAGCCAAUGAGGUUUAUCCGAGGCGCAAUUAUUGCUAAUUGAAACAUUCUGACUAUCAUUUACUAUCUAUAUGCUAGUGAAUUAAUGAGUUUAGUUUUUUUUA